AGUUUGAUCCUGGCUCAGGACGAACGCUGGCGGCGCGCCUAACACAUGCAAGUCGAACGGAGCUUAAGACCUUCUUUUUUAAGUUUGGGGGGAACGGGGGGAUAACCCGUUUGUAACCCCCCCCUUGAGGUGGGGGCCAACACUGGGAAACGGUUUUUUAAUCCCGACAUACCCCCCCGGUUCCCCCAUGGCCAUGGAGGAAAAAGUUUUUUUCCGUUUGGAGAAGGCCUCGCGCCCAAAUAGGUUGGUGUGUGGAGUAACGCGCCCACCAAGGGCGAUUAUUUGGUACCCGGACUUGAGGUGUUGAACCGCCCACUUUGGGGAUUGAACCCCGCCCCAGAUUCCUUGGGGGGGGCCACCAGUGGGGGAUUUUCCACAAUGGGGGAAACCCUUGAUGCAGCGACCCCCCGUGGAAGAAAAAAGUUUUUCGGAUUGUAAACUCCUGUCGUUAGGGACGAUAAUGACGGUCCCUAACAAGAAAGCACCGGCUAACUACGUGCCAGCAGCCGCGGUAAAACGUAGGGUGCAAGCGUUGUCCGGAAUUACUGGGUGUAAAGGGAGCGCAGGCGGGAAGACAAGUUGGAAGUGAAAACCAUGGGCUCAACCCAUGAAUUGCUUUCAAAACUGUUUUUCUUGAGUAGUGCAGAGGUAGAUGGAAUUCCCGGUGUAGCGGUGGAAUGCGUAGAUAUCGGGAGGAACACCAGUGGCGAAGGCGGUCUACUGGGCACCAACUGACGCUGAGGCUCGAAAGCAUGGGUAGCAAACAGGAUUAGAUACCCUGGUAGUCCAUGCCGUAAACGAUGAUUACUAGGUGUUGGGGGAUUGACCCCCUCAGUGCCGCAGUUAACACAAUAAGUAAUCCACCUGGGGAGUACGACCGCAAGGUUGAAACUCAAAGGAAUUGACGGGGGCCCGCACAAGCAGUGGAGUAUGUGGUUUAAUUCGAAGCAACGCGAAGAACCUUACCAGGUCUUGACAUCCGAUGCAUAGCACAGAGAUGUGUGAAAUCCUUCGGGACAUCGAGACAGGUGGUGCAUGGUUGUCGUCAGCUCGUGUCGUGAGAUGUUGGGUUAAGUCCCGCAACGAGCGCAACCCUUAUUGCCAGUUACUACGUUAAGAGGACUCUGGCGAGACUGCCGUUGACAAAACGGAGGAAGGUGGGGAUGACGUCAAAUCAUCAUGCCCUUUAUGACCUGGGCUACACACGUACUACAAUGGCGUUAAACAAAGAGAAGCAAGACCGCGAGGUGGAGCAAAACUCAAAAACAACGUCUCAGUUCAGAUUGCAGGCUGCAACUCGCCUGCAUGAAGUCGGAAUUGCUAGUAAUCGCGGAUCAGCAUGCCGCGGUGAAUACGUUCCCGGGCCUUGUACACACCGCCCGUC
rnacentral:rRNA from 1 species